rnacentral:rRNA from 1 species
UACAGAGGUCCCAAGCGUUGUUCGGAUUCAUUGGGCGUAAAGGGUGCGUAGGCGGCGCGGUAAGUCGGGUGUGAAAUCUCGGAGCUUAACUCCGAAACUGCAUUCGAUACUGCCGUGCUUGAGGACUGGAGAGGAGACUGGAAUUUACGGUGUAGCGGUGAAAUGCGUAGAUAUCGUAAGGAAGACCAGUGGCGAAGGCGGGUCUCUGGACAGUUCCUGACACUGAGACACGAAGGCCAGGGAGCAAACGGG